GUGCAUCUAGAUUAGAGUUUGAUCCUGGCUCAGGAUGACGCUAGCGGCAGGCUUACACAUGCAAGUCGAGGGGCAGCGCGAGGUAGCAAUACCUUGGCGGCGACCGGCGCAAGGGUGCGUAACGCGUGAGCAAUCUGCCCGUAUCAGGGGGAUAAGCGAUGGAAACGUCGUCUAAUACCGCAUAACAACGAGGGAGGCAUCUUCCAUGUUUGAAAGAUUCGUCGGAUACGGAUGAGCUCGCGAGACAUUAGCUAGUCGGCGGGGUAACGGCCCACCGAGGCUACGAUGUCUAGGGGAACUGAGAGGUUGGUCCCCCACACUGGAACUGAGACACGGUCCAGACUCCUACGGGAGGCAGCAGUGAGGAAUAUUGGACAAUGGCCGGAAGGCUGAUCCAGCCAUGCCGCGUGAAGGAAGAAGUCCUAUGGAUUGUAAACUUUUUUUGUAUGGGAGCAAUAAGUCGUCGUGACGUCCGAUGAGAGUACCAUACGAAUAAGCAUCGGCUACUCCGUGCCACAGCCGCGGUAAUACGGAGGAUGCGAGCGUUAUCCGGAUUUAUUGGGUUUAAAGGUGCGUAGCGGUUGUCAGUCAGCGGUGAACGCACGGCUCACCCGUGACUGCGUGAACUGACGACUGA
rnacentral:rRNA from 1 species